rnacentral:rRNA from 1 species
GACGAACGCUGGCGGCGUGCCUAAUACAUGCAAGUAGAACGCACAGUUUAUACCGUAGCUUGCUACACCAUAGACUGUGAGUUGCGAACGGGUGAGUAACGCGUAGGUAACCUGCCUGGUAGCGGGGGAUAACUAUUGGAAACGAUAGCUAAUACCGCAUAAUAUUAAUUAUUGCAUGAUAAUUAAUUGAAAGGUGCAAUUGCACCACUACCAGAUGGACCUGCGUUGUAUUAGCUAGUAGGUGAGGUAACGGCUCACCUAGGCGACGAUACAUAGCCGACCUGAGAGGGUGAUCGGCCACACUGGGACUGAGACACGGCCCAGACUCCUACGGGAGGCAGCAGUAGGGAAUCUUCGGCAAUGGACGAAAGUCUGACCGAGCAACGCCGCGUGAGUGAAGAAGGUUUUCGGAUCGUAAAGCUCUGUUGUAAGAGAAGAACGGGUGUGAGAGUGGAAAGUUCACACUGUGACGGUAUCUUACCAGAAAUGGACGGCUAACUACGUG